GCCAGCAUGGCGUAAUGGUUGAACAUUGGACUAGGACUCUGGAGACCAGGGUUUGAAUCCCUGCUUGAGCA